rnacentral:rRNA from 1 species
CGGGACACGUGGUAUCCUGUCUGAAUAUGGGGGGACCAUCCUCCAAGGCUAAAUACUCCUGACUGACCGAUAGUGAACCAGUACCGUGAGGGAAAGGCGAAAAGAACCCCGGCGAGGGGAGUGAAAAAGAACCUGAAACCGUGUACGUACAAGCAGUGGGAGCCUCUUAAUGGGGUGACUGCGUACCUUUUGUAUAAUGGGUCAGCGACUUAUAUUCUGUAGCAAGGUUAACCGAAUAGGGGAGCCGAAGGGAAACCGAGUCUUAACUGGGCGUUAAGUUGCAGGGUAUAGACCCGAAACCCGGUGAUCUAGCCAUGGGCAGGUUGAAGGUUGGGUAACACUAACUGGAGGACCGAACCGACUAAUGUUGAAAAAUUAGCGGAUGACUUGUGGCUGGGGGUGAAAGGCCAAUCAAACCGGGAGAUAGCUGGUUCUCCCCGAAAGCUAUUUAGGUAGCGCCUCGUGAAUUCAUCUCCGGGGGUAGAGCACUGUUUCGGCAAGGGGGUCAUCCCGACUUACCAACCCGAUGCAAACUGCGAAUACCGGAGAAUGUUAUCACGGGAGACACACGGCGGGUGCUAACGUCCGUCGUGAAGAGGGAAACAACCCAGACCGCCAGCUAAGGUCCCAAAGUCAUGGUUAAGUGGGAAACGAUGUGGGAAGGCCCAGACAGCCAGGAUGUUGGCUUAGAAGCAGCCAUCAUUUAAAGAAAGCGUAAUAGCUCACUGGUCGAGUCGGCCUGCGCGGAAGAUGUAACGGGGCUAAACCAUGCACCGAAGCUGCGGCAGCGACACUAUGUGUUGUUGGGUAGGGGAGCGUUCUGUAAGCCUGUGAAGGUGUACUGUGAGGUAUGCUGGAGGUAUCAGAAGUGCGAAUGCUGACAUAAGUAACGAUAAAGCGGGUGAAAAGCCCGCUCGCCGGAAGACCAAGGGUUCCUGUCCAACGUUAAUCGGGGCAGGGUGAGUCGACCCCUAAGGCGAGGCCGAAAGGCGUAGUCGAUGGGAAACAGGUUAAUAUUCCUGUACUUGGUGUUACUGCGAAGGGGGGACGGAGAAGGCUAUGUUGGCCGGGCGACGGUUGUCCCGGUUUAAGCGUGUAGGCUGGUUUUCCAGGCAAAUCCGGAAAAUCAAGGCUGAGGCGUGAUGACGAGGCACUACGGUGCUGAAGCAACAAAUGCCCUGCUUCCAGGAAAAGCCUCUAAGCAUCAGGUAACAUCAAAUCGUACCCCAAACCGACACAGGUGGUCAGGUAGAGAAUACCAAGGCGCUUGAGAGAACUCGGGUGAAGGAACUAGGCAAAAUGGUGCCGUAACUUCGGGAGAAGGCACGCUGAUAUGUAGGUGAAGUCCCUUGCGGAUGGAGCUGAAAUCAGUCGAAGAUACCAGCUGGCUGCAACUGUUUAUUAAAAACACAGCACUGUGCAAACACGAAAGUGGACGUAUACGGUGUGACGCCUGCCCGGUGCCGGAAGGUUAAUUGAUGGGGUUAGCGGUAACGCGAAGCUCUUGAUCGAAGCCCCGGUAAACGGCGGCCGUAACUAUAACGGUCCUAAGGUAGCGAAAUUCCUUGUCGGGUAAGUUCCGACCUGCACGAAUGGCGUAAUGAUGGCCAGGCUGUCUCCACCCGAGACUCAGUGAAAUUGAACUCGCUGUGAAGAUGCAGUGUACCCGCGGCAAGACGGAAAGACCCCGUGAACCUUUACUAUAGCUUGACACUGAACAUUGAGCCUUGAUGUGUAGGAUAGGUGGGAGGCUUUGAAGUGUGGACGCCAGUCUGCAUGGAGCCGGCCUUGAAAUACCACCCUUUAAUGUUUGAUGUUCUAACGUUGGCCCCUGAUCGGGGUUGCGGACAGUGUCUGGUGGGUAGUUUGACUGGGGCGGUCUCCUCCUAAAGAGUAACGGAGGAGCACGAAGGUUGGCUAAUCCUGGUCGGACAUCAGGAGGUUAGUGCAAUGGCAUAAGCCAGCUUGACUGCGAGCGUGACGGCGCGAGCAGGUGCGAAAGCAGGUCAUAGUGAUCCGGUGGUUCUGAAUGGAAGGGCCAUCGCUCAACGGAUAAAAGGUACUCCGGGGAUAACAGGCUGAUACCGCCCAAGAGUUCAUAUCGACGGCGGUGUUUGGCACCUCGAUGUCGGCUCAUCACAUCCUGGGGCUGAAGUAGGUCCCAAGGGUAUGGCUGUUCGCCAUUUAAAGUGGUACGCGAGCUGGGUUUAGAACGUCGUGAGACAGUUCGGUCCCUAUCUGCCGUGGGCGCUGGAGAACUGAGGGGGGCUGCUCCUAGUACGAGAGGACCGGAGUGGACGCAUCACUGGUGUUCGGGUUGUCAUGCCAAUGGCACUGCCCGGUAGCUAAAUGCGGAAGAGAUAAGUGCUGAAAGCAUCUAAGCACGAAACUUGCCCCGAGAUGAGUUCUCCCUGACUCCUUGAGAGUCCUGAAGGAACGUUGAAGACGACGACGUUGAUAGGCCGGGUGUGUAAGCGCAGCGAUGCGUUGAGCUAACCGGUACUAAUGAACCGUGAG